rnacentral:misc_RNA from 1 species
UCCUGGUUAACCCAGGCAGUCUCGUAUGAAAAAUACAACAUACGACGAGGGUUGCGCUCGUUGCGGGACUUAACCCAACAUCUCACGACACGAGCUGACGACGACCAUGCAGCACCUGUCACCGGUCCGGCCGGACCGACUCCCGUGUUUCCACGGGAUAUGACCGGGAUGUCAAGCCCUGGUAAGGUUCUUCGCUUAUCGUCGAAUUAAACCACACGCUCCACCGCUUGUGCGGCCCCCCGUCAAUUCCUUUGAGUUUUAGUCUUGCGACCGUACUCCCCAGGCGGGGUACUUAACGCGUUAGCUUCGACACCCAAGGGGUCUAUUCCUCGAAUGCCUAGUACCCAUCGUUUACGGUGUGGACUAC